rnacentral:rRNA from 2 species
GCAACGAGCGCAACCCUCGCUCUUAGUUGCCAUCAUUCAGUUGGCACUCUAAGGGGACUGCCGGUGAUAAGCUGGAGGAAGGUGGGGAUGACGUCAAGUCCUCAUGGCCCUUACGGGCUGGGCUACACACGUGCUACAAUGGUGGUGACAGUGGGCAGCGAGACCGCGAGGUUGAGCUAAUCUCCAAAAACCAUCUCAGUUCGGAUUGCACUCUGCAACUCGGGUGCAUGAAGUUGGAAUCGCUAGUAAUCGUGGAUCAGCAUGCCACGGUGAAUACGUUCCCGGGCCUUGUACACACCGCCCGUCACACCAUGGGAGUUGGCUUACCCGAAGGUGCUGUG